AACGAACGCUGGCGGCAGGCUUAACACAUGCAAGUCGAACGCCCCGCCAGGGGAGUGGCCGACGGGUGCGUAACGCGUGGGAACAUACCCUUUUCUACGGAAUAGCUCUGGGAAACUGGAAUUAAUACCGUAUACGCCCUACGGGGGAAAGAUUUAUCGGGGAAGGAUUGGCCCGCGUUGGAUUAGCUAGUUGGUGGGGUAAAGGCCUACCAAGGCGACGAUCCAUAGCUGGUCUGAGAGGAUGAUCAGCCACAUUGGGACUGAGACACGGCCCAAACUCCUACGGGAAGCAGCAGUGGGGAAUAUUGGACAAUGGGCGCAAGCCUGAUCCAGCCAUGCCGCGUGAGUGAUGAAGGCCUUAGGGUUGUAAAGCUCUUUCACCGAUGAAGAUAAUGACGGUAGUCGGAGAAGAAGCCCCGGCUAACUUCGUG
rnacentral:rRNA from 1 species